rnacentral:rRNA from 1 species
GAUGAACGCUGGCGGCGUGCCUAAUACAUGUAAGUCGAGCGAACAGACGAGGAGCUUGCUCCUCUGACGUUAGCGGCGGACGGGUGAGUAACACGUGGAUAACCUACCUAUAAGACUGGGAUAACUUCGGGAAACCGGAGCUAAUACCGGAUAAUAUAUUGAACCGCAUGGUUCAAUAGUGAAAGACGGUUUUGCUGUCACUUCUAGAUGGAUCCGCGCCGCAUUAGCUAGUUGGUAAGGUAACGGCUUACCAAGGCAACGAUGCGUAGCCGACCUGAGAGGGUGAUCGGCCACACUGGAACUGAGACACGGUCCAGACUCCUACGGGAGGCAGCAGUAGGGAAUCUUCCGCAAUGGGCGAAAGCCUGACGGAGCAACGCCGCGUGAGUGAUGAAGGUCUUCGGAUCGUAAAACUCUGUUAUUAGGGAAGAACAAAUGUGUAAGUAACUAUGCACGUCUUGACGGUACCUAAUCAGAAAGCCACGGCUAACUACGUG